ensembl:lncRNA
UGAUUAUGCAAUAUCUGUACCUGAAAACGGUGCUUUUUAUGAUAUUUUCUUCUUAUUUUAUUACUGACUGUUCACUUGUCUUCAGUAAUGUUUGAACUUGGUUUUGAUAGUAAAUAAAUUCUAAUCAGUAAUUUUACAUGCAGAUUAAUGUAUGUAUGUUUACAUGCAUAGUGGGCCGGUCUGGAUGAAGUCCAGGGCUGAUUUUUUGUCCCAGUCCAGCCCUGAUUGUCAUGUGUGAUUGUAAAAAAAUUUGUACACAGCAAAUUAUCCAGUGUUGAAAUCCUAGUGUUGGGGAAUUUUAGAGUAAAGUGUUAAAGUUGUGGUGUUGAAUUUUAAAGGAUUAACACUAACUAGUGUAAACAGCCCCCUCUGGCCGGUGUUAAUACGCAGAGUUACCUUUAUUAACACUGUUGAGUGUUAAUAGUCACAUCCGGGACAUUUGCUCGUGCUUCGGUCAGGUGCGCGCCUGACCCUUCUGAAAUAUUUUUUCACAGACGCCAUUUUCUUUGCUCGCGAUGCGGCUCAUAUGAGGACGGAAUACGGCGAAAUAAAUUGUAUAAUCUUACUCAAAAAAUGUGUUUUGUAAUAUCAUAUCGUUUUAUAACGACAUUUAUUUGCUGUGUGCACAUAAACGUUUCUCAAGGACAUUUCCUUUCACUCACGAUGCGGAACAGACGAGGACGUCAUUUACUCCAAAACUUUUUUCUCAAGAGAGAUAUUUUCUUCCACUCAAGAUGGGGAGAAUACGGGAAUCUGUUUCUUAUCAAAGGAAAACACCAUAAAUUUGAAUUGAUGUGCAGCGCGGACCAGGGUGGAGACGCGGAUUACUUAAAGAAGGGAGAGAGCAGAAAAGCACUUUUGUGAUGCUGCAAGUGGGAGUGGAUUUCUUGCUUAGCUGGAAACUGCAGAGAACCACAUCUUGUCGUCCUGAAAAAAAGAAAGAGACUACUUUCUCCAAGGAGGUCCAAACGCCAUUGGCACAGACUUUGUUCAGUGAUCAGUAAACUACAUUCAGCCAGGGCCGUCCUUAGAGGGGUGCAACUGGUGCAGUCGCACCGGCCCCGCACUUGAGGGGUAAACAGACUGAAUAAGCCCCCCCUCCGCCAACCCGGGAACGCUCCCUACUUCGCACUGGGCCCCGAAUCAGCUAAGUACAGCCCUGCAUUCAUGGUUGAUGAUUAGUGAAUGAGAUGCUGUGGUUUAAGGAGAUAAAUGUAAGCACUAUAAACCUGAUUAAAUUGAGAAUACAUAUGGACCAAAUACAUUUUUUGUGCCUUUGCACUGAUUUGCUUUGACAUUGUUUUAAUUGUUGGAAAGAAUGUUCUUUAUAUGUAUUGAAAACACUGAAGGUGAAGACAUUUUGGUGCAGGGAAAAAGAGUUACAAUGUUUCAAUUAAAAUAAAUAAAUGUGUAAACAUGCA